rnacentral:misc_RNA from 1 species
GGCAAUAUAUCGCUUGAAACACUUCUGGAUCUUUAAAGCUGCUGCUUCGCGUCGCAACUGCUCAAAUAGUUUUCGAGCCAAAACACCUCGAGUAAAUGAUUGCACAUGUAUAGCAGCUUUACGUAAUGCAACAAACUCCUUGCGUGCAAUAAAUGUUCUAAUUUGCAUUUGAAUAGUUCUGGCAGCAUUGCUAAGCACCUCUGUUCUCUUUGCGUCCAGAGAAGCCAUCUGCCCAGCCCUCAGGAAGAUUU